rnacentral:rRNA from 1 species
UUAAGCGACUAAGCGUACACGGUGGAUGCCCUGGCAGUCAGAGGCGAUGAAGGACGUGCUAAUCUGCGAAAAGCGUCGGUAAGGUGAUAUGAACCGUUAUAGCCGGCGAUGUCCGAAUGGGGAAACCCAGUGCAAUUCGUUGCACUAUCGUUAACUGAAUACAUAGGUUAACGAGGCGAACCGGGGGAACUGAAACAUCUAAGUACCCCGAGGAAAAGAAAUCAACCGAGAUUCCCCCAGUAGCGGCGAGCGAACGGGGAGCAGCCCAGAGUCUGAAUCAGCUUGUGUGUUAGUGGAACGGUCUGGAAAGUCCGACGGUACAGGGUGAUAGUCCCGUACACCAAAAUGCACAGGCUGUGAACUCGAAGAGUAGGGCGGGACACGUGGUAUCCUGUCUGAAUAUGGGGGGACCAUCCUCCAAGGCUAAAUACUCCUGACUGACCGAUAGUGAACCAGUACCGUGAGGGAAAGGCGAAAAGAACCCCGGCGAGGGGAGUGAAAAAGAACCUGAAACCGUGUACGUACAAGCAGUGGGAGCACCUUCGGGUGUGACUGCGUACCUUUUGUAUAAUGGGUCAGCGACUUAUAUUCUGUAGCAAGGUUAACCGUAUAGGGGAGCCGCAGGGAAACCGAGUCUUAACUGGGCGUUAAGUUGCAGGGUAUAGACCCGAAACCCGGUGAUCUAGCCAUGGGCAGGUUGAAGGUUGGGUAACACUAACUGGAGGACCGAACCGACUAAUGUUGAAAAAUUAGCGGAUGACUUGUGGCUGGGGGUGAAAGGCCAAUCAAACCGGGAGAUAGCUGGUUCUCCCCGAAAGCUAUUUAGGUAGCGCCUCGUGAACUCAUCUUCGGGGGUAGAGCACUGUUUCGGCUAGGGGGUCAUCCCGACUUACCAACCCGAUGCAAACUACGAAUACCGAAGAAUGUUAUCACGGGAGACACACGGCGGGUGCUAACGUCCGUCGUGAAGAGGGAAACAACCCAGACCGCCAGCUAAGGUCCCAAAGUCAUGGUUAAGUGGGAAACGAUGUGGGAAGGCACAGACAGCCAGGAUGUUGGCUUAGAAGCAGCCAUCAUUUAAAGAAAGCGUAAUAGCUCACUGGUCGAGUCGGCCUGCGCGGAAGAUGUAACGGGGCUAAACCAUGCACCGAAGCUGCGGCAGCGACACUAUGUGUUGUUGGGUAGGGGAGCGUUCUGUAAGCCUGCGAAGGUGUGCUGUGAGGCAUGCUGGAGGUAUCAGAAGUGCGAAUGCUGACAUAAGUAACGAUAAAGCGGGUGAAAAGCCCGCUCGCCGGAAGACCAAGGGUUCCUGUCCAACGUUAAUCGGGGCAGGGUGAGUCGACCCCUAAGGCGAGGCCGAAAGGCGUAGUCGAUGGGAAACAGGUUAAUAUUCCUGUACUUGGUGUUACUGCGAAGGGGGGACGGAGAAGGCUAUGUUAGCCGGGCGACGGUUGUCCCGGUUUAAGCAUGUAGGCUGGUUGUCCAGGCAAAUCCGGAUAAUCAAGGCUGAGGUGUGAUGACGAGGCACUACGGUGCUGAAGUAACAAAUGCCCUGCUUCCAGGAAAAGCCUCUAAGCAUCAGGUAACAUCAAAUCGUACCCCAAACCGACACAGGUGGUCAGGUAGAGAAUACCAAGGCGCUUGAGAGAACUCGGGUGAAGGAACUAGGCAAAAUGGUGCCGUAACUUCGGGAGAAGGCACGCUGGUGUGUAGGUGAAGUCCCUGCGGAUGGAGCUGAGACCAGUCGAAGAUACCAGCUGGCUGCAACUGUUUAUUAAAAACACAGCACUGUGCAAACACGAAAGUGGACGUAUACGGUGUGACGCCUGCCCGGUGCCGGAAGGUUAAUUGAUGGGGUUAUCCGUAAGGAGAAGCUCUUGAUCGAAGCCCCGGUAAACGGCGGCCGUAACUAUAACGGUCCUAAGGUAGCGAAAUUCCUUGUCGGGUAAGUUCCGACCUGCACGAAUGGCGUAAUGAUGGCCAGGCUGUCUCCACCCGAGACUCAGUGAAAUUGAACUCGCUGUGAAGAUGCAGUGUACCCGCGGCAAGACGGAAAGACCCCGUGAACCUUUACUAUAGCUUGACACUGAACAUUGAGCCUUGAUGUGUAGGAUAGGUGGGAGGCUUUGAAGCGUGGACGCCAGUCUGCGUGGAGCCAACCUUGAAAUACCACCCUUUAAUGUUUGAUGUUCUAACGUUGGCCCCUUACCGGGGUUGCGGACAGUGUCUGGUGGGUAGUUUGACUGGGGCGGUCUCCUCCCAAAGCGUAACGGAGGAGCACGAAGGUUAGCUAAUCCUGGUCGGACAUCAGGAGGUUAGUGCAAUGGCAUAAGCUAGCUUGACUGCGAGCGUGACGGCGCGAGCAGGUGCGAAAGCAGGUCAUAGUGAUCCGGUGGUUCUGAAUGGAAGGGCCAUCGCUCAACGGAUAAAAGGUACUCCGGGGAUAACAGGCUGAUACCGCCCAAGAGUUCAUAUCGACGGCGGUGUUUGGCACCUCGAUGUCGGCUCAUCACAUCCUGGGGCUGAAGUAGGUCCCAAGGGUAUGGCUGUUCGCCAUUUAAAGUGGUACGCGAGCUGGGUUUAGAACGUCGUGAGACAGUUCGGUCCCUAUCUGCCGUGGGCGCUGGAGAAUUGAGGGGGGCUGCUCCUAGUACGAGAGGACCGGAGUGGACGCAUCACUGGUGUUCGGGUUGUCAUGCCAAUGGCACUGCCCGGUAGCUAAAUGCGGAAGAGAUAAGUGCUGAAAGCAUCUAAGCACGAAACUUGCCCCGAGAUGAGUUCUCCCUGAGACUAUAAGUCUCCUGAAGGAACGUUAAAGACGAUGACGUUGAUAGGCCGGGUGUGUAAGCGCAGCGAUGCGUUGAGCUAACCGGUACUAAUGAACCGUGAGGCUUAACCUU